rnacentral:rRNA from 1 species
GGGAGUUGUGCCUGGGCCACUACGACCGCAGGCUGAACUUGAAGGAUUGACGGAAGGGCACACCAGGGGUGGAGCCUGUGGCUUAAUUUGAAUCAACACGGGGAAACUUACCAGGACCAGAUGUUUUUUAUGACUGACAGGCUUCGGGUCUUUCAGGAUAUUGUUUUUGGUGGUGCAUGGCCGUUGGUGGUGCGUGGGUUGACCUGUCUAGCGUUGAUUCAGCUAACGAGCGAGAUUAUCGCCAAUUAUUUACUUUGCCGAAGUCCUUCGGUUAAAGUUCAA